UUAAGUUAAUCAUAUAAAAUAUUUCAUCUCCUUAAUUAUACGUAUCAACCUCAAAUUGAAAUUCUAUAAAUUUUAAGACUUAUUGAGGCGAAUACGUAUAAUUAAAGACGAUGACAUGUUUUAUGUGGUUAACUUAACU
rnacentral:pre_miRNA from 1 species